rnacentral:rRNA from 1 species
AGCGAGAGUAAGUAGUGAGGAAGAGCUAAUUGGUAAAUCCGUUAGUUUGUUUAUUUAAGCUACGAGUCAGAGUGUGUUAGUAAUAAUACAUAAGUAAGGUACUUUCAGCUUCCGAGAAACGCAUCAUUACGUCCUAGCAAUAGGACAAAGCAUUUUUUUACCGUACCGUAUAACCGACACAGGUGGACAAGUCGAGUAGACUAAGAUGAUCGGGAGAAAGUGGAUUAAGGAACUCGGCAAUAAAUCUAGGCGUAACCUAUGGGAGAUGCCUUGCCAUCAGCAAUGGUGGUUGCAACAAAAGAGUACUUAGUAGCUGUUUAUCUAAAACACAGGUCCCUGCAAAACCGAAAGGUAACGUAUAGGGGCUGACACCUGCCCAGUGCUGGUAAGUCAAAUAUCUCUGGUGAAGUUCGCAAGAAUCAGCUUAGGAUAUAAGCUCCAGUAAACGGCAGCAGUAACUAUAACUGUUCUAUGGUAGCGAAGUUCCUUGUCGGGCGAGUUCCGACCCGCACGAAAGGUAGAAUAAUUAAGUAACUGUCUUAAUCCAUUACUCGGCGAAAUUGAGAUGGCCGUGAAGACGCGGCCUAGGUAUGCAUGGACAAAAAGACCCCGGGAGCUUUACUGUAUCUUGGCAUUUGCAAGCUCAUUUUAUAUGUUUAGUAUAGGAGGGAGAGCAAUCAAUAGUGAAAUACCUCUCUUUGGAAUGAGUGAGCAUUACCUCGACCCGCAUAAAAAUUCGGGAGGGGAACAGUGCUUGGUUGGCAGUUUAACUGGGGCGAUUGACUCCUACAACGCAACGGAGUCGUACAAAGGUUGGCUAACUAUGUAAGGAAAUCAUAGUGAUAGCGCAAAAGCAUAAGCCAGCUUGACUGCGAGACAGACAAGUCGAGCAGGGUCGAAAGACGGUUUUAGUGAUCCUCCGACGCUUAGUGGUAGGCGCGGAGCUUAACGGAUAAAAGCUACCCCGGGGAUAACAGGCUGAUCGCUCCCAAGCGUCCACAGCGACGGGGCGGUUUGGCACCUUAAAUAACAUUGGGGCGCCUUACUUGCAAAAGUAUAGCCUGGAUUAU